CCAAAAUGAAGAGAAGAAUGAGUGAGGAAAGAAAGAAAGGAAGAGAAGGAAGAAAGAGGGUGAGUAAGUAGAGAGAAAAAUAGAGUGGAGAGAAAUUUCUCCAAGAGAGAAAAAUUAGUGAGCCACAUAUAUUGUAAACACUAAAGUUGUAGCCCUAUUAUUUUACAUAGUGGAAAAGUUACUACUGCUGCUCUCCGGGGACGUAGGCAUAGCCGAACCUCGUUAAAUACUGUGUCUCAUCUACUUUACGUGCAGCUCAAUAUUCAUACAUAUUCCAGGUUAUUUUUAUAACACAUAUGUAUAUAUAAAGGUUUAUAAAAAUUGGCAAGAGAUUCAUUGUAGUUUGAGUUGUUGUUUUCUCCUUCAAUUUAUAGAGAAUGAGGCCAGUUGAGUGUUGGGACUAGCAACUAAUUUGAAGUACCCACUUGUCAUUGAUUUUGGUGAGUGGGUUGCUGAAAAUACAAG
rnacentral:lncRNA from 1 species